rnacentral:rRNA from 1 species
AGCGCAGGCGGGCGAUCAAGUUGGAAGUGAAAUCCAUGGGCUCAACCCAUGAACUGCUUUCAAAACUGGUCGUCUUGAGUAGUGCAGAGGUAGGCGGAAUUCCCGGUGUAGCGGUGGAAUGCGUAGAUAUCGGGAGGAACACCAGUGGCGAAGGCGACCUACUGGGCACCAACUGACGCUGAGGCUCGAAAGUGUGGUAGCAAACA